ACUGAGGCUUGGGGACCCUUUACGACUCUUGCAGCUCGUGAGUCAAGGUCUAGGGGAUUAUGGGACACCACCUGGGGCUGACAGUGGGCCAGCAAGUCCUGCCAGCGGAUCAUCUUGGGAGACUCACCCAUUGGUUGGGAGUAAUAUCCUGGCUACUGACCACGACCCCAGCUAGUGUCAGGAGGCUGUGGCACAGAUAGCAGACCUGGAAAGGGAGAGAAAGAGAGAGAGAGAAAGUACAACAAGGAUGCUUCCUAACUCCUUCUGAGGCCAUGGGCUCCUGUCUUAGCCAGCAGCAGCUUCUAGGAACACAUCUUCAAGGAGGGCCUCACUUCCUCAGAGCUGUGACUGUCCCAGUAGCCUGUACCCAGGACCCACAUUUCUUCUAAUUAUUGAUUGUCCUCAAAUGGCUUCUGAAAAAGAGAAUCCUUGCCACCUGGAAAGCCACACCACCCUAAGCCUUCUCCUGUGACUCCAGAAGCAGAAGCCCAGAGGGCCUGUGCACCCUCACCUCUGCACAACCUGUUUGCUAAGUCACCUAUACCUGUGGUCAGCAACUGAGGUGAUCCUAUCCCUUGGGCCACCUCUAGGUCCCCAUCUUGUAAAUGUGACCCAUAGUGGAUAAGCAAGCACCUGCACAAACCUAGGCACAGCACCGUUUGACAAUCGGCCCUGACGACAAACAGAAAGCUGGAAAGGGAAGGGGAGACCAGUAGAAGCAGUAUGCAUCAAAUAUCUGCAUGCCUUCUCCACCCAGUCCACCCUCACUGUCGCCACUGGGCACUUCAGAGAUAAAAACCAGGACAAAGGCCAUUUGGGAGGAACCGUACCUGGAAUCCCUAGCUUAGAAGCUAAAGCAAGAAGAUCACAAGUUCAAGGCCAGCCAAGGUUGCUGCAUAGAAAGAAAGCAUCUC
ensembl:processed_transcript D430040D24Rik uncharacterized LOC110291161